AGCGAACGCUGGCGGCAGGCCUAACACAUGCAAGUCGAACGAACUCUUCGGAGUUAGUGGCGGACGGGUGAGUAACACGUGGGAACGUGCCUUUAGGUUCGGAAUAACUCAGGGAAACUUGUGCUAAUACCGAAUGUGCCCUUCGGGGGAAAGAUUUAUCGCCUUUAGAGCGGCCCGCGUCUGAUUAGCUAGUUGGUUAGGUAAAGGCUCACCAAGGCGACGAUCAGUAGCUGGUCUGAGAGGAUGAUCAGCCACAUUGGGACUGAGACACGGCCCAAACUCCUACGGGAAGCAGCAGUGGGGAAUCUUGCGAAAUGGGCGAAAGCCUGACGCAGCCAUGCCGCGUGAAUGAUGAAGGUCUUAGGAUUGUAAAAUUCUUUCACCGGGGACGAUAAUGACGGUACCCGGAGAAGAAGCCCCGGCUAACUUCGUG
rnacentral:rRNA from 1 species